GCUAGAAGAUCUGGGAUAUCUACAGAAAGGAAACAAGCAAAAUUCAUCACUGCUACCAAGAGGAGGAGAGUUACAGAUGCUCAGGAUUUGAGUACAAAGGAAUAGGAAUAGAGCUGAACAGAUUCAACACCAGAAAGGACGAUUGGAUCUCAAAAUAUGAAAGUCCCUUCAUUCAAUAAAGCAACAGGAUUGGCUCUGAGGAGCGGUAAGCAACAUUUGAUGAAGGAAACAGGCAGCGUGGACAGUAUUCAAGACACAAUGUUUAAAAGUUGCUGCUGGGAUGGAAGCAAAGAAGAAAGCCCUGGAGAUGGGUUAGUGCUGGGACACAGGCACUAUCCUGGAGGGCCUGGG